UUUCAAGAUGAGAAUAGACAAGUUGACAAAAUCUAUCCUAUACUAAAAGGUUAAUAUGGAGUGUUUCUAACCUGUCCACGUAGGAUAAUAUAUUAGACCAAUCAAAACAUUCUAAUAAUACACGCUGGCAAAAUAACCGGGUAGCAGAUCUCUUGCUUUCGUACGGGCUCCGCUUUGUUUGAUGGGCUUCACCGGUUCGUGUUGGGCUUCGCUACCCAGUUCGAAUAAUAAAAAAAACUUCAACGCACGAUGGAUAUCACGAGGCUCUCCCUUCUCGCUCUUCGUCUUCACCUUCCUUCACCAUCGUUUCACUUCUCCGAUCCCGAUCCAGAACCCCCACAAUCAAUACUACACUACAACUCCAUCCAUAAAUUCUUUCUUUAUGAUUUCGAUUCAGUUUACCCUUUCCCUGCUGCUCUAUAUACUGAUUUUCUCUCCUGAGUGCAAACCAAACCCUAAAACUUUUUUGACCUCGAUUCGCGAUGAAACCGAAUGGAAAAUCCCCGAUGAACUCCGAUUAUGAUGAAAAUGUCAUGUUCUUCCGAGAUGUCACACCGGGUCCUCCUGCAUAUGAGGCAAGGCUCUCUAUACACUCUCGCCAGCUUCUACGGAUCUAGAAGCAAAGAUGGAGAAGGUCAUGCAUCCUGAUGUGAGAUCAAGUUUGAGUUGGAGGCUAAGGGAAGAAAUAUUUCCAGGAGAAUGAGAUAAUUUAGAGGUCGAUUUCAUAAACAAAGAAAUAAUUUGGAGCAGAAAGCACUAGCAAUGAAGAUGGAGAGAAGGAAGAUGUGUACCAGUUUGGAGUGAUCCUACUUCAGAUCAUCACGGGCAAAGUAAUGGCGGCUGCAUCCUCAGAGUUGGGAAGCUUGAAGCUUCAGCUGGAGAAUGGUUUGAGAGAGGAACCAUCGGUGUUGCGUAGCUUAGCAGAUCCAAGCGUGAGGGGAAUGUAUGCGUAUGAGUCACUGAGGACCACAGUGGAGUUUUCCAUUAACUGUCUUUGUGAAGAUCAGAGGAAGAGGCCAUCGAUAUAGGAUGUUGUGUGGAACAUCCCUCCAAGGACCGUUGAGGAGAUAUACAAGGUUGCAUCUAUAGCUCUUAGUCCCAACGUCUCUACGCAGAUAUUUAUGGGUUUAAUGGUUAGCCCACCAAAGCCUAGAGACAUUUCUUAUGACCAAUUCGUUCGUGAAAGCAAGGGGAUACUAGAGUCACUGAGAAGAAGAGCAAGAAUCAUGACUGAUGGGUUCAACAGCUGCAAGAACGUUGUCUGUAAUUUCACUGAGGGUGCAAUGUAUUCGUUUCCUCAGAUAAAGUUGAAUAUGGAGUGUUUCUAGCCUGUCCACGUAGGAUAAUAUAUUAGACCAAUCAAAACAUUCUAAUAAUACACGCUGGCAAAAUAACCGGGUAGCAGAUCUCUUGCUUUCGUACGGGCUCCGCUUUGUUUGAUGGGCUUCACCGGUUCGUGUUGGGCUUCGCUACCCAGUUCGAAUAAUAAAAAAAACUUCAACGCACGAUGGAUAUCACGAGGCUCUCCCUUCUCGCUCUUCGUCUUCACCUUCCUUCACCAUCGUUUCACUUCUCCGAUCCCGAUCCAGAACCCCCACAAUCAAUACUACACUACAACUCCAUCCAUAAAUUCUUUCUUUAUGAUUUCGAUUCAGUUUACCCUUUCCCUGCUGCUUUAUAUACUGAUUUUCUCUCCUGAGUGCAAACCAAACCCUAAAACUUUUUUGACCUCGAUUCGUGAUGAAACCGAAUGAAAAAUCCCCGAUGAACUCCGAUUAUGAUGAAAAGGUCAUGUUCUUCCAAGAUGUCACACCGGGUCCUCCUGCAUAUGAGGCAAGGCUCUCUAUACACUCUCGCCAGCUUCUACGGAUCUAGAAGCAAAGAUGGAGAAGGUCAUGCAUCCUGAUGUGAGAUCAAGUUUGAGUUGGAGGCUAAGGGAAGAAAUAUUUCCAGGAGAAUGAGAUAAUUUAGAGGUCGAUUUCAUAAACAAAGAAAUAAUUUGGAGCAGAAAGCACUAGCAAUGAAGAUGGAGAGAAGGAAGAUGUGUACCAGUUUGGAGUGAUCCUACUUCAGAUCAUCACGGGCAAAGUAAUGGCGGCUGCAUCCUCAGAGUUGGGAAGCUUGAAGCUUCAGCUGGAGAAUGGUUUGAGAGAGGAACCAUCGGUGUUGCGUAGCUUAGCAGAUCCAAGCGUGAGGGGAAUGUAUGCGUAUGAGUCACUGAGGACCACAGUGGAGUUUUCCAUUAACUGUCUUUGUGAAGAUCAGAGGAAGAGGCCAUCGAUAUAGGAUGUUGUGUGGAACAUCCCUCCAAGGACCGUUGAGGAGAUAUACAAGGUUGCAUCUAUAGCUCUUAGUCCCAACGUCUCUACGCAGAUAUUUAUGGGUUUAAUGGUUAGCCCACCAAAGCCUAGAGACAUUUCUUAUGACCAAUUCGUUCGUGAAAGCAAGGGGAUACUAGAGUCACUGAGAAGAAGAGCAAGAAUCAUGACUGAUGGGUUCAACAGCUGCAAGAACGUUGUCUGUAAUUUCACUGAGGGUGCAAUGUAUUCGUUUCCUCAGAUAAAGUUGAAUAUGGAGUGUUUCUAGCCUGUCCACGUAGGAUAAUAUAUUAGACCAAUCAAAACAUUCUAAUAAUACACGCUGGCAAAAUAACCGGGUAGCAGAUCUCUUGCUUUCGUACGGGCUCCGCUUUGUUUGAUGGGCUUCACCGGUUCGUGUUGGGCUUCGCUACCCAGUUCGAAUAAUAAAAAAAACUUCAACGCACGAUGGAUAUCACGAGGCUCUCCCUUCUCGCUCUUCGUCUUCACCUUCCUUCACCAUCGUUUCACUUCUCCGAUCCCGAUCCAGAACCCCCACAAUCAAUACUACACUACAACUCCAUCCAUAAAUUCUUUCUUUAUGAUUUCGAUUCAGUUUACCCUUUCCCUACUGCUUUAUAUACUGAUUUUCUCUCCUGAGUGCAAACCAAACCCUAAAACUUUUUUGACCUCGAUUCGUGAUGAAACCGAAUGGAAAAUCCCCGAUGAACUCCGAUUAUGAUGAAAAGGUCAUGUUCUUCCAAGAUGUCACACCGGGUCCUCCUGCAUAUGAGGCAAGGCUCUCUAUACACUCUCGCCAGCUUCUACGGAUCUAGAAGCAAAGAUGGAGAAGGUCAUGCAUCCUGAUGUGUAGGAGAUCAAGUUUGAGUUGGAGGCUAAGGGAAGAAAUAUUUCCAGGAGAAUGAGAUAAUUUAGAGGUCGAUUUCAUAAACAAAGAAAUAAUUUGGAGCAGAAAGCACUAGCAAUGAAGAUGGAGAGAAGGAAGAUGUGUACCAGUUUGGAGUGAUCCUACUUCAGAUCAUCACGGGCAAAGUAAUGGCGGCUGCAUCCUCAGAGUUGGGAAGCUUGAAGCUUCAGCUGGAGAAUGGUUUGAGAGAGGAACCAUCGGUGUUGCGUAGCUUAGCAGAUCCAAGCGUGAGGGGAAUGUAUGCGUAUGAGUCACUGAGGACCACAGUGGAGUUUUCCAUUAACUGUCUUUGUGAAGAUCAGAGGAAGAGGCCAUCGAUAUAGGAUGUUGUGUGGAACAUCCCUCCAAGGACCGUUGAGGAGAUAUACAAGGUUGCAUCUAUAGCUCUUAGUCCCAACGUCUCUGCGCAGAUAUUUAUGGGUUUAAUGGUUAGCCCACCAAAACCUGGAGACAUUUCUUAUGAUCAAUUCGUUCGUGAAAGCAAGGGGAUACUAGAGUCACUGAGAAGAGGAGCAGGGAUCAUGACUGAUGGGUUCAACAGCUGCAAGAACGUUGUCUGUAAUUUCACUGAAGGUGCAAUGUAUUCGUUUCCUCAGAUAAAGUUACCACCGAAAGCAAUCCAAGCAGCGAAACAAGCUGGGAAAGUCCCUGAUGUUUUCUACUGCCUUAAGCUCUUUGAAGCCACAGGAAUCUCCACUGUUCCUGGCUCUGGAUUUGGACAGAAAGAAGGGGUGUUUCAUCUGAGGUUAUGGAAAGUUUCAUGAAGUUCAAUGAUGAGUUCAUGUCUCAGUACGGUGAUAAGUUUGGUUACUCAAGGAUGUGAAAGAAAGGAGUUUGAGUUUGAGAUCACUUCUUCUUUUCUUACCGACAUUAUUAUUAUCAAUGCACACUCUUGAAAAGAUAUAGCCACUGGUCCUACUUUGUACAACUUUUCUUAUGGUCUUAGAAUCCUUUGUAUCUACCGAAACAAACAAACAUAAACCAUCUCAUCAGUUUCAGUGAUGUAUUAAAAUGUUUCUAUUUAGACAUCUUUAAACAAAAAAGAGUUUUUA